rnacentral:tRNA from 2 species
GCCGAAGUGGUGGAAUUGGCAGACACGCACGCUUCAGAGGCGUGUGGGCGCAAGCUCGUGAGGGUUCAACUCCCUCCUUCGGCA